rnacentral:lncRNA from 1 species
UCAAAGGUACUAGAUGAAUCCCAAGGUCUCAAAUCACAGACUCUCAAAGCAAGGGUCAAGGUCCUAGUUUUAAGUCCAUAAUUCCACAACAAUGCAAAGGAUAGCAACCUCAAGUCCAUAAAUCAUGAGAAUCAAUUUUUUAAGGAUUUUUUUUCCUUUAUUAAUGUCUUAAAAAGAAGAAGUCCAAUUGGACAAAGGAAAAAGAGCAUAAGUAUAAACAAAAGUCCAAUUGGACAAAAAUAAAAUUACAUAAGCACAAACAAUAUGAUAAGAGAUGCUAAA